UGGGGAAUAUUGGGCAAUGGGCGCAAGCCUGAUCCAGCCAUGCCGCGUGUGUGAAGAAGGCCUUCGGGUUGUAAAGCACUUUUGUCCGGAAAGAAAGCGAAUCGGCGAAUACCCGGUUUGGAUGACGGUACCGGAAGAAUAAGCACCGGCUAACUCCGUGCCAGCAGCCGCGGUAAUACGGAGGGUGCAAGCGUUGUUCGGAAUUACUGGGCGUAAAGCGCGUGUAGGCGGACCUAUAAGUCAGAUGUGAAAGCCCUGGGCUCAACCCAGGAAGUGCAUCUGAUACUGUAGGCCUUGAGUCCCGGAGAGGGUUGUGGAAUUCCCGGUGUAGAGGUGAAAUUCGUAGAUAUCGGGAGGAACACCAGUGGCGAAGGCGACAACCUGGACGAGGACUGACGCUGAGACGCGAAAGCGUGGGGAGCAAACA
rnacentral:rRNA from 1 species